rnacentral:rRNA from 1 species
ACGCUAGCUACAGGCUUAACACAUGCAAGUCGAGGGGCAUCAGGAAGAAAGCUUGCUUUCUUUGCUGGCGACCGGCGCACGGGUGAGUAACACGUAUCCAACCUGCCCUUUACUCGGGGAUAGCCUUUCGAAAGAAAGAUUAAUACCCGAUAGUAUAAUGAUUCCGCAUGGUUUCAUUAUUAAAGGAUUCCGGUAAAGGAUGGGGAUGCGUUCCAUUAGGUUGUUGGUGAGGUAACGGCUCACCAAGCCUUCGAUGGAUAGGGGUUCUGAGAGGAAGGUCCCCCACAUUGGAACUGAGACACGGUCCAAACUCCUACGGGAGGCAGCAGUGAGGAAUAUUGGUCAAUGGGCGCUAGCCUGAACCAGCCAAGUAGCGUGAAGGAUGAAGGCUCUAUGGGUCGUAAACUUCUUUUAUAUAAGAAUAAAGUGCAGUAUGUAUACUGUUUUGUAUGUAUUAUAUGAAUAAGGAUCGGCUAACUCCGUGCCAGCAGCCGCGGUAAUACGGAGGAUCCGAGCGUUAUCCGGAUUUAUUGGGUUUAAAGGGAGCGUAGGUGGACUGGUAAGUCAGUUGUGAAAGUUUGCGGCUCAACCGUAAAAUUGCAGUUGAUACUGUCAGUCUUGAGUACAGUAGAGGUGGGCGGAAUUCGUGGUGUAGCGGUGAAAUGCUUAGAUAUCACGAAGAACUCCGAUUGCGAAGGCAGCUCACUGGACUGCAACUGACACUGAUGCUCGAAAGUGUGGGUAUCAAACAGGAUUAGAUACCAUGGUAGUCCACACAGUAAACGAUGAAUACUCGCUGUUUGCGAUAUACAGUAAGCGGCCAAGCGAAAGCAUUAAGUAUUCCACCUGGGGAGUACGCCGGCAACGGUGAAACUCAAAGGAAUUGACGGGGGCCCGCACAAGCGGAGGAACAUGUGGUUUAAUUCGAUGAUACGCGAGGAACCUUACCCGGGCUUAAAUUGCAGUGGAAUGAUGUGGAAACAUGUCAGUGAGCAAUCACCGCUGUGAAGGUGCUGCAUGGUUGUCGUCAGCUCGUGCCGUGAGGUGUCGGCUUAAGUGCCAUAACGAGCGCAACCCUUAUCUCUAGUUACUAACAGGUUAUGCUGAGGACUCUAGAGAGACUGCCGUCGUAAGAUGUGAGGAAGGUGGGGAUGACGUCAAAUCAGCACGGCCCUUACGUCCGGGGCUACACACGUGUUACAAUGGGGGGUACAGAAGGCAGCUAGCGGGUGACCGUAUGCUAAUCCCAAAAGCCUCUCUCAGUUCGGAUCGAAGUCUGCAACCCGACUUCGUGAAGCUGGAUUCGCUAGUAAUCGCGCAUCAGCCACGGCGCAGUGAAUACGUUCCCGGGCCUUGUACACACCGCCCGUCAAGCCAUGGGAGCCGGGGGUACCAA